GAGGUGUAGGGGAGGUUGGGCCAGGGGUGCCCUCACUGUCUCUCUCUGGUCUUGCCACCCCAG
ensembl:miRNA